AGAACUGCAGCUGCGAGGACUCCUGGGUGAGAUGAGGCAAGUGUGGGGCACUGUAGGUGGAGUAGCAGCCGAAGAGGUAUGAAAGCUUUAUUGACGUAUGAUUGAAAAAGGAAAAUUGUGUAGAUCUAAGGUGUACAAUGCUAUGAAUACAUGGUUUCAGGCCUCAUGUUUAAGUCUCUGGUAGUUCUUUAUAGCAAUGCAAGAACGGACUAAUACACCUGGACACUGAUCUCAUCUGGUGAAAGACUGUGGGUAAUCAAAGCAUUUCUGCGGAGUGGUUGCAAGGCAUGCCUGCGACGAGACAGGUUGUUGGCAGUGAGUGAGUGUAGCAUUGUUCUUUCUCAAGAUUGCUUUAGCUGUCUUCUUGAUCUUGUGGUUCCAUGUAAAUUUUAUGGUUUCAUACAAUUUUUAAUAUUACUUUUUUUGUUUCUGUAAAUAAAUGUCAUUGAAAUUU
rnacentral:lncRNA from 1 species